rnacentral:rRNA from 1 species
AGAGUUUGGAUCCUGGCUCAGAGUUAACGCUGGCGGCGUGCCUAACACAUGCAAGUCGAGCGAGCUUGUAGCAAUACAAGUAGCAGCAAACGGGUGAGUAACACAUGGGAAACCUCCCUCAGAAUGGGGAACAUCUCCGAGAAAUCGGAGCUAAUACCGCAUAAGACCACAGUCUGGCAUCAGACAGGGGUAAAAGCAGCAAUGCGUUUGAGAUGGUCCUGUGUCCUAUCAGCUAGUUGGUGAGGUAACGGGCUCACCAAGGCUAAGACGGGUAUCCGGCCUGAAAGGGUGAACGGACACACUGGAACUGAGACACGGGUCCAGACUCCUACGGGAGGCAGCAGUGGGAAUUUUGGACAAUGGGGGAAACCCUGAUCCAGCGACGCCGCGUGAAGGAUGAAGGCCUUCGGGUUGUAAACUUCUUUUGGAGGGACGAAUAAAUUGACGGUACCCUCAGAAAAAGCCACGGCUAACUACGUG